GAUUCAGAAGUCUAACUUUGUUUGCAGAGACCACCGACAAGCUCCACCUCAGCACCUCACUCAUCAUCUUCUGUCUGUCUUACCAGUCCCCACUGUUCGGCUUCUUCCAUAAUAGUCUCCCCACUAGCAGAAAAUCUAAAAAGGCCUGGGCUCAAGUUCAAAGCCAAAGCCAUACUGGCUUCAAAAAACAAGCUUUAGAGGAUGAAAACAUAAACAGUUACUCCUGGAAAUUCCAUCACACUGAACCACUCAUCUUGGAAAUCUGGUUAACCCGCCUGCUUUCAGAAUCAUCUCCUUGCCUCACCUGCCUGCCCUCCUGCCCUUACACCACCACAGGAUCUUCACCGCUCAGUUACAGCUGACACACACCACCAAACCCACCCAGACCGCACUACCUCUCCUUCAACGCUUCCAUCUCCCACCUGCACAUACGUAGCUAAUCACCAGCCAGCUGCCGUUGCUUUCUUGGACCUGUCCCCUUGCUUUAUCCCUUUCCCCUGGCCAAGACCCUCACGUCCCAUGUGUCAAGCCUAAAGCCAAGUGCCAUCGUAAACAUCAUUCUUAUGCUAGUUAAUAAACCUUUGUUGAAACCUUUCCUCAGCCUCCGCUUUGGGUAAUCUGCACGUGGGUUUGAUUUUUGGUAC